CAGUGAAAGCCAGGAGGACCGGGAGCCCAGGCAGAAGCAAUGCCAUAAACAGGCGCUCCUCAGAGCAGAGACCUUCAGGCUCCAGGGGUCAGUCUGGCUUCUGCAUUUCAGUGAGCAGGCAGGGCCCAUUAUGACUUGCUUUGGAGAUGAUGGGGAAUGCUGGUUGACAGUUCUGGAAAGGACUCGAAGACAAAUUACUUCCACCAUGGAGGCAACAUUCAGGCAGCUUGGAGAGGAGGCCAAUGCUCAGGCAUCACAUCUCUCAACCCAGCAGAGCCCAUGGCUGCCUAGACAACGAGAAGGCCCUAGCACAGGCUCUGGCACAUGCUCCAGGCAGCAGGGUUAAUGCACCCUGGAGCUGGGAUGCCCCAGCAUGAGGACUGUCUUCCUGGGAGCUGGCAUCCUGGCCAGCACUCAACACAUGCUGCUCAGUGACGGAACCCAUCUGUCAUCAGUUAUCAGCAUAAUUUAUUACCCACUGACACAGUAAGGUCUGGAAGGACUUUUGAAAUAAGAUGACUUUUAAAAACUAUACCUGUAAACCCUGUUUACCCUGACGUGAUUAUUAUGCAUUGUAUGCCUGUAUCAAAAUCUCAUGUAACCCAUAAAUAUAUAUACCUAAUAUGUACCCACAAAAAUAAAAAAAUAAAAUGACACUUGUAAUA
rnacentral:sRNA from 1 species